GAGCUCAGCCGGUAGAGCAUGAUACUCUUAAUCUCAGCAUCAGGGGUUCAAGCCCCACAGUGGGCA